GAUGAACGCUGGCGGCGUGCUUAACACAUGCAAGUCGAACGAUGAAGCCCAGCUUGCUGGGUGGAUUAGUGGCGAACGGGUGAGUAACACGUGAGUAACCUGCCCUUAACUCUGGGAUAAGCCUUGGAAACUGGGUCUAAUACCGGAUAGGAGCGUCCACCGCAUGGUGUGUGUUGGAAAGAUUUAUCGGUUUUGGAUGGACUCGCGGCCUAUCAGCUUGUUGGUGAGGUAAUGGCUCACCAAGGCGACGACGGGUAGCCGGCCUGAGAGGGUGACCGGCCACACUGGGACUGAGACACGGCCCAGACUCCUACGGGAGGCAGCAGUGGGGAAUAUUGCACAAUGGGCGCAAGCAUGAUGCAGCGACGCCGCGUGAGGGAUGACGGCAUUCGGGUUGUAAACCUCUUUCAGUAGGGAAGAAGCGAAAGUGACGGUACCUGCAGAAGAAGCACCGGCUAACUACGUG
rnacentral:rRNA from 1 species